rnacentral:ncRNA from 2 species
AAUCUCCCGCCUGUUUUGGGAUUUCGCUGCCGUUUCCACGGCGCGAAUGAAAAGGGAAGCCGGUGACUCUGGACUAGUUCAGACAUUCCGGCGCAGCCCCCGCUGCUGUAAGCCAGACAACUCCGCCACACGCCACUGUGCCUUCGGGUAUGGGAAGGUCGGCGGACGAGAUUGAAGGCGAGCCAGAAGACCUGCCCAAAUCAAAGAUAGCGU